rnacentral:misc_RNA from 1 species
GAUGAAGAACGCAGCGAAAUGCGAUAAGUAAUGUGAAUUGCAGAAUUCAGUGAGUCAUCGAAUCUUUGAACGCACAUUGCGCCCUGUGGUAUUCCGCAGGGCAUGCCUGUUCGAGCGUCAUUUCAACCCUCAAGCCCCGCUUGGUGUUGGGCCCCGCCCGCUGUGGCCGGCCCUAAAGACAGUGGCGGCGCCGCCUGGCCCUCAGCGUAGUACAUCUCUCGCUCCAGGGUCCGGUGGCCGCCUGCCAGAACCCCCCAACUCUGUGGUUGACCUCGGAUCAGGUAGGGAUACCCGCUGAACUUAAGCAUAUCAUAAGCGGAGGA